ACACAUAUAUAUAUAUAAAUAUUUAUAUAUAUAUAUAUAGAUGUAUAGAUCUGGGUUGAUUAAUGUUUGCAUUUACAAAUAUGGGAGAUCAUAUUGAAUACACAGUGGAAAUAUUUUACUCUAAGCUAGAGCUUUUUUGAAUCAUGCUUCAGAGUUUUUGUGUUGCCAAUUAUGCAUAUGAAUAAAUGAAGUGGAGAAGCACCAAGGCAAUAUAUAUGAUGAAAGUCUUUGUUUUUUUUUUUGUCAAACAUUAUAUCUCUGAGUAUUUUUGCUUAGAUAUUGUCAUGCUACAUCCCUGCCAUAAUCAUCUCAAUAAUUGGUAACUUGAAACUCAGGUUUAUGGUUCAAGGCUCCUCAACUUACACAUAUAUUUGUAUAUAUAUAUAUAUAUAUGUAUGUAUAUAUAUGUAUGUAUAUAUAUAUAUUCACUCACGCAUAUUUAUAUGAACAUAACAUGUUAAGUUAUAUAUAAAUACAUAUUUACUAUUUUGUUAUAUUUUUUUAAUUGAUAUGUUAUUUUUCUCUUCAUUUUUUUCUUCCGAACUUCUUUACUUCUGCCAAUUUUUGUUUUUCAGUGCGAAUCCAUGUGUAAUUUUUUUGUUUCCUUUUUUUUUUAUUAUUAUUCUUUUAAAAUUUAUUUUCCUGAAAUACUUAUUACCAAAUGAAAUUCUCUUGCCUUGUUUUGCUCAUUAUAAGCGCAGUCCAAAAAAUAAAAAAAAAAAACUUUCAAAGUAUGAAUAUAUAUAUAAAUUAAAAAAAAAA
rnacentral:lncRNA from 1 species